rnacentral:rRNA from 1 species
UUUUGUGGGGUGCUCGAGUGGCGAACGGGUGAGUAACACGUGAGUAACCUGCCCUUGACUUUGGGAUAACUUCAGGAAACUGGGGCUAAUACCGGAUAGGAGCUCCUGCUGCAUGGUGGGGGUUGGAAAGUUUCGGCGGUUGGGGAUGGACUCGCGGCUUAUCAGCUUGUUGGUGGGGUAGUGGCUUACCAAGGCUUUGACGGGUAGCCGGCCUGAGAGGGUGACCGGCCACAUUGGGACUGAGAUACGGCCCAG